rnacentral:rRNA from 1 species
AACUAACGCUGGCGGCGUGCCUAACACAUGCAAAGUCGUACGAGAAAGCCGGCUUCGGCUGGUGAGUAAAGUGGCGCACGGGUGAGUAACGCGUGGAUAAUCUGCCCUUAAGUGUGGAAUAACGUACCGAAAGGUGCGCUAAUACCGCAUAAUGCCUGGCAACACAAGUUGUCCGGCCAAAGAAGGCCUCUGUUUACAAGCUUUCGCUUCAGGAUGAGUCCGCGUACCAUUAGCUUGUUGGUGGGGUAAUGGCCUACCAAGGCGACGAUGGGUAGCCGGCCUGAGAGGGUGACCGGCCACACUGGAACUGAGACACGGUCCAGACUCCUACGGGAGGCAGCAGUGGGGAAUCUUCCGCAAUGGGCGAAAGCCUGACGGAGCAACGCCGCGUGAGUGAAGAAGGCCUUCGGGUUGUAAAACUCUGUCAUCAGGGAAGAAGAAAGUGACGGUACCUGAGGAGGAAGCCCCGGCUAACUACGUG